rnacentral:rRNA from 1 species
UGGGGAAUAUUGGACAAUGGGGGAACCCGUGAUCCAGCCAUGCCGCGUGUGUGAAGAAGGCCUUAUGGUUGUAAAGCACUUUAAGCGAGGAGGAGGCUCUCUUGGUUAAUACCCAAGAAGAGUGGACGUUACUCGCAGAAUAAGCACCGGCUAACUCUGUGCCAGCAGCCGCGGUAAUACAGAGGGUGCGAGCGUUAAUCGGAUUUACUGGGCGUAAAGCGUGCGUAGGCGGCUUUUUAAGUCGGAUGUGAAAUCCCCGAGCUUAACUUGGGAAUUGCAUUCGAUACUGGGAAGCUAGAGUAUGGGAGAGGAUGGUAGAAUUCCAGGUGUAGCGGUGAAAUUGCGUAGAGAUCUUGGAGGAAUACCGAUGGCGAAGGCAGCCAUCUGGCCUAAUACUGACGCUGAGGUACGAAAGCAUGGGGAGCAAACA